rfam:Salmo salar isolate Sally breed double haploid chromosome ssa12, whole genome shotgun sequence.
GGCAUGGUGGCCAAGUGGUAAGGCGUCAGUCUCGAAGAUCAUGGGUUCAAAUCCUGUCCGUGCCU